GUUGUUGUUCAUUCAUGCAAAUGGGCAAAAAUCAGUGUCAGCCUACAGUAAAUACUGAGUUGUCAGAUCUGGUACAGAGGAAGGAGUCUGGCCUGGAGGACCUGAAAUGCACAGCAGCCUCCGUACAGUUUGAGUGUUUGAGAAGGAACAAGUUCAGUUCUUGGCUACUUUGUGUCAAAGUGUUAACUUGUGUGUGCUAAGAUGUUUGCAAAACUAUGUGUUGUUGUGGAUGUGUCAAUACAGUCUGAAAGAGAUGUUGACCUGCUGCUACAUCAGAUCUGUAUUCUGAAAAACAAAAGACGAAUUAACCACCACCACACUUAAGAUACAUAUUUCUUUACAAAGACGACUACAAAUUUGUCAAGUUGGUCCGUUAAACUUGAAAGUUUUAAUGUCUUUAAAAUUUGUUAACACAGGGAUUCGCAUGUAAAUUGUAAACAAAACAGCUCAGAUCAUAUUGUUCUAUAUCCAAAUAUUGUCGAUAUUGAAUGUACUUGCUGUUUUUAAUGUUUUAUUAUUAUUAUUAUUAUUAUUAUUAUUAUUAUUAUUAUAUACACCAUCCUUUAACCCAAACUAAAUAAUUAAAAAAAAGUUUAAAUAUGUAAAUCUUCUAUACAUCUUUUUGAUUCUUCAUUUUCUUUUCUGACAUAGCUACUGCAGUUCCUGUUAAGCAAACUACGCUCAUGCUGAAUUUCGCGCUGCUAUGUCGAUAAACUGGUCAAACCGGUACGAACUUCAUUGUCACAGUCCAAAGGCGGAGAACGUUACAGCUGAAGUAGACGGGGAUGGUUUAUAUAUUGUGCCGCAGUUACAGCCACGUGCUGGUAUUAAACUCGUGUCGCUGGAUCAAGUGACAGACCGAACUGAACACCGCUUCUCAAGAUGCGUCUCUUCUUCACUUUUAUAACCUGUAUUAUUGUCAUCAUCGCCGGUGCUGUGAGUGAUAAUGUGAUAGUAAAGGUGAGAAGAGGAGAAAACCUUACCCUCUCCGUCAACACAUCUGAACUGAAGACUGUGAGUCGUUUAACAGUGAGAAGAAACGGGACGCAAGUUAUCUUUCGCUACUGUUCCCCUGACGAGCAAAACCAUGGCUGCAAACCAAUCAAACCUGAAAGAUUUUCACUCCGGAUCGGUAAUGAGAGCGUCUCCGUAACUGUUCCUGAUGCCAACACCAGCGACGAAGUAGUUCACGAUGUUGAAGUUAUCGAUGACAAAAACAAACCGAUCCAUCAGAAGUUUACCGUUGCACUGACCGAGCAACCAUUUACCACACCUGCUAUAUCCACCAAAGGAGAAGAGACACUUGGGACAAAUGGCACAAACACCAAAUUCAGCGAAGAACUAAAUCACAAAAUAAGAUGGGACAUCAUAGGGGGCAUCAUAGGGGGCCUCUCAGGGGUCACUGCAGUGGUCAUUGGUAUCAUCUGCUAUAAAAAGGCAAGUAUGAUAAUUGGUAAAUUACGCAACACUUCUGUUUUUGUAUUAAUAUUGUAGCACUUAAUAACAGCAAUGUUUAGUGAAGACUAUGCAUUCUACUGUGCAGUUUUGUUUUUGGGGAGUUUUUUUUUACAAGUAUUUAUGAAAGACUUGUGAAGGUCCUUGAGAUAUUUUGGUGAGGAAGGAUUAUUGAUCUACUAUGACUUCAUUUAAAUUUGACCUUGGCACACAGGGUGUAAACUAAAAAAAAAGAAAAAAAAAAAAGCCCAUACAAACAGAGUCCAGUGUGCUGCGUAAAUAUAAAGGAA
ensembl:lncRNA